GACGAACGCUGGCGGCGUGCCUAAUACAUGCAAGUCGAGCGAAGUUUUUCUGGUGCUUGCACCGGAAAAACUUAGCGGCGAACGGGUGAGUAACACGUAAAGAACCUGCCUCAUAGACUGGGACAACUAUUGGAAACGAUAGCUAAUACCGGAUAACAGCAUUAACUGCAUGGUUGAUGUUUAAAAGUUGGUUUUGCUAACACUAUGAGAUGGCUUUGCGGUGCAUUAGCUAGUUGGUGGGGUAAGGGCCUACCAAGGCGACGAUGCAUAGCCGACCUGAGAGGGUGAUCGGCCACACUGGGACUGAGACACGGCCCAGACUCCUACGGGAGGCAGCAGUAGGGAAUCUUCCGCAAUGGGCGAAAGCCUGACGGAGCAACGCCGCGUGAGUGAAGAAGGAUUUCGGUUCGUAAAGCUCUGUUGUUAGGGAAGAAUGAUUGUGUAGUAACUAUACACAGUAGAGACGGUACCUAACCAGAAAGCCACGGCUAACUACGUG
rnacentral:rRNA from 1 species